UUCUUAUCAAGAGAGGUGGAGGGACUGGCCCUAUGAAACCCGGCAACCGUACUGACAAUAGUAUAGGUGCCAAUUCCAGCAAGACAAACGUUCUUGGAGAUAAGUG
rnacentral:ncRNA from 2 species